AUACUUACCUAGGAGGGGAUAUACCAUGAUCAUGAAGGUGGUUCAUCCAGGGUUAGGCGCAGUCAUUGCAGUGCGGCUGUGCUGACCCCUGCAAAUUCCCCAAAUAUGGUAAUCUUGACUGCUUAAUUUCUGGUAGUGGGGAACUGCAUUCACACCUUCCCCUG